AGAACCACCGCCAGGUACACAAGUCACUGGACAAGGUGGGAAGGCAUCUUACUCAAUCAAUGGACCUUAUUCUAAAGCGGGAAGGGCACUGAGAUACAGCGCCUACAACAAUGCAAAGGCUAGAAGGAAUGAAGGCAGGGACAUGGAAUGGAGAAUUUCCAUUUCACGGAUCCACAUAAACUGAAAAGGAACAAGAGUCGGUGAGACCAAAGAGCACUGAAGGCCAUGAACCACCACCAUUCUCAACCCCUGGGCCAGGCAAGAAAAGCCACGGUUCCUGGAAGGGAUGACGACAGGCUUACUGAAUUAUUUUCAUCCAUGCCCUUUUAAAAUAUGGUUGGUAGAAAUUUGCCAUUUGAGACUAGAAUCCCAUUCGGAAUCAUGUAAGUCUCUUUUGACUCCACGAGGACAUCUUUCACCCAGUUUUGGGAAAUCUGAGGAAUGGAUUCUUCUACAGACUGAUAAAAUAUCACAAGGUCCAAGAGUUUGUGUGAGAAAGAGGACAUCAAGGUAAAAUUUUUUAAGUGGAUAAAGAUGGAGAAGUAGAAGGAUGUUAUUCAAAAGUGUAGUUUAUGAUUAAGGUUGGUCGUGACAUCAGAAGCCUUUAAUAUCAGGCCCACCCAUCCGGAUUCAUUAAGCAGAUUGUGUCUUAUCUUGCAUUU
rnacentral:lncRNA from 1 species